rnacentral:rRNA from 1 species
UGCAAGUCGAACGGUCUCUUCGGAGGCAGUGGCAGACGGGUGAGUAAUGCAUGGGAAUCUACCGUUCUCUACGGAAUAACUCAGGGAAACUUGUGCUAAUACCGUAUACGCCCUUUUGGGGAAAGAUUUAUCGGAGAAUGAUGAGCCCAUGUUGGAUUAGCUAGUUGGUAGGGUAAAGGCCUACCAAGGCGACGAUCCAUAGCUGGUCUGAGAGGAUGAUCAGCCACACUGGGACUGAGACACGGCCCAGACUCCUACGGGAGGCAGCAGUGGGGAAUAUUGGACAAUGGGCGCAAGCCUGAUCCAGCCAUGCCGCGUGAGUGAUGAAGGCCCUAGGGUUGUAAAGCUCUUUCACCGGUGAAGAUAAUGACGGUAACCGGAGAAGAAGCCCCGGCUAACUUCGUGCCAGCAGCCGCGGUAAUACGAAGGGGGCUAGCGUUGUUCGGAUUUACUGGGCGUAAAGCGCACGUAGGCGGACUUUUAAGUCAGGGGUGAAAUCCCGGGGCUCAACCCCGGAACUGCCUUUGAUACUGGAAGUCUUGAGUAUGGAAGAGGUAAGUGGAAUUGCGAGUGUAGAGGUGA